rnacentral:rRNA from 1 species
CGAGUCUUAACCGGGCGUUAAGUUGCAGGGUAUAGACCCGAAACCCGGUGAUCUAGCCAUGGGCAGGUUGAAGGUUGGGUAACACUAACUGGAGGACCGAACCGACUAAUGUUGAAAAAUUAGCGGAUGACCUGUGGCUGGGGGUGAAAGGCCAAUCAAACCGGGAGAUAGCUGGUUCUCCCCGAAAGCUAUUUAGGUAGCGCCUCGUGAAUUCAUCUCCGGGGGUAGAGCACUGUUUCGGCUAGGGGGCCAUCCCGGCUUACCAACCCGAUGCAAACUGCGAAUACCGGAGAAUGUUAUCACGGGAGACACACGGCGGGUGCUAACGUCCGUCGUGAAGAGGGAAACAACCCAGACCGCCAGCUAAGGUCCCAAAGUCAUGGUUAAGUGGGAAACGAUGUGGGAAGGCCCAGACAGCCAGGAUGUUGGCUUAGAAGCAGCCAUCAUUUAAAGAAAGCGUAAUAGCUCACUGGUCGAGUCGGCCUGCGCGGAAGAUGUAACGGGGCUAAACCAUGCACCGAAGCUGCGGCAGCGACGCUUAUGCGUUGUUGGGUAGGGGAGCGUUCUGUAAGCCUGCGAAGGUGGCCUGUGAGGGUUGCUGGAGGUAUCAGAAGUGCGAAUGCUGACAUAAGUAACGAUAAAGCGGGUGAAAAGCCCGCUCGCCGGAAGACCAAGGGUUCCUGUCCAACGUUAAUCGGGGCAGGGUGAGUCGACCCCUAAGGCGAGGCCGAAAGGCGUAGUCGAUGGGAAACGGGUUAAUAUUCCCGUACUUGGUGUUACUGCGAAGGGGGGACGGAGAAGGCUAUGUUGGCCGGGCGACGGUUGUCCCGGUUUAAGCGUGUAGGUGUGUGUUCCAGGUAAAUCCGGUUCACUUUAACACUGAGGCGUGACGACGAGGCACUACGGUGCUGAAGCAACAAAUGCCCUGCUUCCAGGAAAAGCCUCUAAGCAUCAGGUAACAUCAAAUCGUACCCCAAACCGACACAGGUGGU